AACGCACAAGGUUUAUUUUAUCCUUUUAUAUCCCUGAAGUGCUUGACUUUGCAAGCAAAAUUCCAACCCACCGGGCUAAAGUUAAUUUUGAUUUGAGCCCCAAUAUUUAUUGGUUCUUUUACACACUUCCCUCCUAUCCAGUUUCCCUUUAUUUGAUCCGAUCUCAUUCCAUCUCUCAUCUGUUAUUGCCGUUCAUUCCACUGGCAUAGCGUUGUAUUAUAUGGCAGCUGCGAGCACCUGAGUUGGUUGGCGGCAGCAAGUUCGAGUCAAGGCGGCCGUGGAAGUUGCAUAGCGUCGCACAAGCACGAUCUGGGGACGACCAGCAGCGACUCCAUCCAAGUUCCUGCCUAGCUGUGGCAGCUCUUGAUUCCCAUCAAGAAGAACCUAGGACAAAUCCUUGCAUGGAGGUGGUGACAGGUGCACUGCCAAGCGUUAUCACCAAGCUGGGUGAACUUCUCAUUGGCGAGUACAAUCUGCAGAAGGGGCUGAAGGGGGAGAUCAGGUUUCUCCAAUCGGAGCUCGAGAGUAUGAAGGGUGCCCUUGAGAAGGUCUCUAGCACACCGGCCGACCGGCUUGACAUUCAAGACAAGAUCUGGGCUAGGGAUUUGAGGGAGCUGUCCUAUGAUAUAGAGGACGGUAUUGACACAUUCAUGGUCCGUGGGCAGGGUAAAGAGCAGGGCAAUCUGCAUGGCAUCAAGAAGUUCAUUGAUAGAAGUGUUGGUUUGUUUAGAAAGGCCAAGAUUCGCCAUGGGAUGGCCACUGAGAUCAGAGACAUCAAGACCCGUGUCGAAGAGGUAGCCAAGCGGCAUGGAAGGUACAAGAUCAACAUUGAUGUUGCUAUGCCUGUCAUGAUCGAUCCACGUUUAUUCAGUCAGUACACGGAGGCGAAAGAGCUUGUUGGAAUUGAUGAGGCAAGAGAUGAGCUAAUUAAGACUCUAGAAGAAGAGAAUGAAGUGUCCAUGCAGCAGCAUGGAAAGAUAGUUUCCAUUGUUGGAUUUGGGGGACUGGGAAAGACAACUCUUGCAAAAGCAGUUUAUGAAAAGAUUAGAGCACGAUUCGAUUGUUGUGCUUUUGUUUCAGUGUCUCAAACUCCUAACUUGAAGAAAUUAUUCAAGGGCUUGCUUUGUGAUCUUGGCAAAACAAAUAAUGAAGAAACAUUGGAUGAGAGUCGGCUUAUAAAAGUACUCAGAGAAUUCCUUCAAGAGAAAAGGUAUUUCAUUGUUAUUGACGACAUAUGGGAUAUCUCAGUCUGGAAAAUGAUCAAAUGUGCUUUGCCUGAUAAUGAUGUUGGAUACGCUAUCAUCACAACUACCCGUAUUUUUGAUGUUGCUGAACAAGCCGGUGGUGCUUACAAGCUGAAACCCCUUUCAUUAAAUAACUCUCGCAAGUUGCUGUAUAGAAGAAUAUUUGGUACUGAAAACAAAUACGAUAAUAAAGGCAUAGAAAAAUGUCCAAAUGAGGAGCUGGCCGAAGUAUCUGACAGAAUACUAAAGAAAUGUUCUGGAGUACCCUUAGCAAUCACUACGAUGGCAAGUCUGCUAGCUUGUAAAGCAAGAAAUAAAAUAGAUUGGUAUGAGGUGUACAAUUCCAUUGGUACUGGUCUGGAAAACAAUCUAGAUGUGAAGAAUAUGAGAAAGAUUUUAUCAUUUAGCUAUUAUGAGCUGCCAUGCCAUCUAAGGACUUGCUUAUUAUAUUUAAGCAUGUUUCCAGAAGAUUUUGAAAUUGACAAGGGUCGUUUGAUAAGGAUGUGGAUAGCUGAAGGUUUUAUCCAAUGUGAAAAACAUGGGAAGAGUUUAUUUGAACUCGGAGAGAGUUACCUCAAUGAGCUCAUAAAUAGAAGUAUGGUCCAAGCAAUAUAUGACAGACACACUGGCAUGCCACCUAGUUGUCGCGUACAUGAUAUGGUGCUCGAUCUUAUCCGUUCCUUGUCAACUGAAGAAAACUUUAUUGCUGUACUAAGUGAUAUGGAUAGCACAUCUCCAUCAGAUACGAUUCGGAGGUUGUCCCUUCAAAAUGUCAAGAACAGUCACAUAAUGGCUCAUGCUACUAGGAGCUCGCUGCAACAUGCAAGGUCAGUUGUUAUCUUCCCAUCUGAAUUUGCUCAAGCGCCGGCUCUUGGGAGUUUUCAGGUUUUACGUGUACUGGAUUUAUGUGAAUGUGAUCUUUCACAAGCUAAUAGUCUUAAGUACCUUGAAAAUUUAUAUCAGUUGAGGUACUUGGGACUAUGUGAGACAAGUAUUUCUCAGCUCCCGGGAGAAAUAGGGAACCUGCAGUUUCUGCAAACAUUGGACGUAAGGGGCAAUACUAUUUCAUGGUUGCCUUCGGGUGUUGUUCAGCUAACUAAUUUGAUGUUCCUAUACAUCGACGGGUCUACAAAAGUGCCGAAUGGAAUUGGAAACCUAACAUGCCUUGAACAGCUGUCGUCGUUAUACAUUGAUGGCUCCACCAUAAAUAUUGUAGAAGAGUUGGGCCAGCUAGCUGCACUAAGGCGGCUGGAGAUUGAAUUGGACGAGUGGAACAACAAGGUGUUGGAGUGCCUACGCAUGCUACAAAAGAUCCAGGAACUAGAUAUCUCAGUCUGUUCUGGUGAACGUAGCAUCAGUGGAUUGGAUGCCUGGACCGCCCCUCGACAUAUUCGUGAUUUGCGUAUAGUACACAGCUGUUGGUUUUCUACACUGCCGGCUUGGGUGAAUCCAUCACUUGUUCCGGAUCUCACCCGCCUAUAUAUCGAUGUGAGGGAGCUGCAUCAAGUCGAUCUUGAAAUCCUCGGGAGGUUGCCAGCUCUCCGCUCUCUGUGGCUGGAGGUGGACAACAAGAACCUCGGAAUCCUUCAGGGAUUCGUUGUUGGUGCUGGUUCCUUCCCGUGCCUUGUAAGUUGUUGCUUCUCGCAAUUUGUAUGGCCAGUGGUAUUUCAACAAGGAGCUAUGCCAAGGCUUAGAGAGCUUUACCUCUUGGCAUUGUUUUAUGUGCGGGAGGCAAGAGGAAUUGCCUGCAGCGAUGGUGGCCUCGACUUGGGCCUGGGGAACCUGCCAUCGCUGCAAUGGGUCGCAGCUGACCUCCAGUGUGCGGGCGCUAACAAGGAGAAGGCGGAGCAAGCCAAGGCUGCACUGACGCUGGCAGCUAGAAUGCAUCCCAAUCAUCCCAACCAUGAUAUACAUAUUCAAAUAUGAAGGUGCGUAGAUCCUCUAGGUGGUGCUGCUCCAUGAUGGAGACAGUAGAGCGGAGUUGAAUUUCGUGGAGUGGAGCACUCCUAAAUGGACCCUUAUUCCUUCUAAAUAGGCCCUUGCUUCUGUCCUUUCCCAUUUCUUCUAAACUUAAUUGCGUUGGUUUUUUCCCACCCUAUGCCACCUUAGCUCCAGAUGUUCUUUCUCCGUUAUUCUAACACAUCCUCCCCACUUUAUUUCCUUCUAAUCAUCUUUUUUUUAGUUGUGUUUAUAUCCUCAAAAGUAGGAUGGAGAGAGAAAGUGGGAUUACAAUAAUCUGGGUGCUAAGGUUUUUAUAAUCUAUCCAAUUACCUGGUGUGUUUAGCUCUCAUAAAGACUUUUUAGCCAAUAAUAAAAUACAAUAGCUUUGUUUUCUUUUACAUCAUUAUGGAGUGCAAAAAUAAUAUAGCAAAAUAUAUGGUCUUUGUUUCUGAUUGGACUUCUAUUAUGUUUUGGCAAAGAUUCUGAUUGGACUUCUAUUAUAUUUUGCCUAUUUGAACUCGGAGAGUUUUACUUCAACGAGCUCAUAAUCAAAAGUAUGAUCCAACCGAUACAUAGCUCAUGAACUGGCAUGGUAAAUGGUUGUCGCAUACAUGAUAUGGUGCUGGAUCUUAUCCGUUCCUUGUCAAGUGAAGAAAACUUAACAUGCCUUGAGCUGCUGUCACAGUUAUACAUUGAUGACUCUGCCAUAAACAUUAUAGAAGAGUUGGGCGAGCUAACUGAACUGAGGCGGCUGUGGAUUAAAUUGGAGGAGUGGAAUGACAAGCUGUUAGAGUGCCUGCACAAGCUACAAAAGAUUCAGGAACUGUGUAUCGAUCAUGCUCCAUCAUCCUCACCGCAGCAUAGGUGGAUUGGAUACCUGGGUUGCCCCUCGACGUCUCCGUGACUUGGUUACACAAUACAGUUGUUGGUUUUCAACACUGCCAGCUUGGGUGAAUCCAUCGCUUGUUCCGGAUCUCACCUGUCUAACCAUCGCCGUGAGGGAGCUGCAUCAGGGCGACCUCAAAAUCCUCGGGAGGUUGCCAGCUCUCCGCUAUGUCUAACCUGGGAAUCCUUCAGGGAUUCGUUGUUGGUGCUGGUUCCUUCCCGUGCCUCGUAAGCUGUUGGUUCUCGCGAUCUGUAUGGCCAGUGGUGUUUCAACAAGAAGCUAUGCCGAGGCUCAGAGAGCUUCGGAUCUGGCCGUUGUUUUAUGUGCGGGAGGCAAGAGGAAUGGCCAGCAGCGAUGGUGGUCUCGAUUUUGGCCUAGGGAACCUGCUAUCACUGCAGGAAGUCAAGAUUGAAAUCCUAGGUGCAGGCGCUACCAAGGAGGCGGCGGAGCAAGCCAUGGUCCCGCUGACGCAUGUAGCUUCUAUUCAGAUGAAGAAUAGCAAACCGGAGAAAAGAUCUGCUUCGCCACAUCUGCAGAGAUUAAAUUGGUCAACCAUGGACGGUACCAAACAACUCGAACCUGUAAGCAGUGAUGUUAGCUACUCGGUUUCCCAUGGAAAUGUCGCAUGUUUGGGUACCGUAAUGCCGCUCCCUGUCGCUGACAUCAAUAAUGCCGCACGUCCUCAGGAGCCUGCAAUGCCACGGGAGGCCUUGGACAGAACAAAACGCAAGGGCAUUGCGGCGACAGAGUCGGGCCUAGAUGUCACGCAUGGGUAUCCAUCCUAUUGUAGGGUGUGUUGCUGUUGAGUGCAGUGGUCUGCUUUCAUGAGGCUCUCAAAAGCGCAAUCAUUUGCAUAGCUUUUAUGUUGUGUUUAGCCUGCCAUUUGUUCGUACGAAUCUUCAGGAGUCUAGCUAUGUUUGACAAAGAGGGGCAAGAAGUAUUUUGGGUUAUUUGCAGCUUGUGGCCUUGAUCGUCAUGCGUGCCGGUGAGAAGUCAGAGUAUAGAUGCCAGUGUGCAUGCUCUGUUUUUCCGUGUGCUCUGUUCUGCGCAUAACUCUGUUCUGCAGAGCAUGGUGCCCACGAGUAGCUUCACCAACCGAACUUGCAUUAAAAAAGCUUUGGUCUGUUGCUUAACACACAUGGAAAGCUUUGGUCUAGACAUGAGAUAAGUGUACAUAUGAUCAACUAAAUGUUCAUGCAUGUGGCCUUUAUUAAAUAAUAAAAUACAAUCACUUUGUGUCUUUUUCA